AGUGAACGCUGGCGGUAGGCCUAACACAUGCAAGUUGAACGGCAGCACAGUAAGAGCUUGCCCUUACGGGUGGCGAGUGGCGGACGGGUGAGGAAUACAUCGGAAUCUACUUUUUCGUGGGGGAUAACGUAGGGAAACUUACGCUAAUACCGCAUACGACCUACGGGUGAAAGCAGGGGAUCUUCGGACCUUGCGCGAUUGAAUGAGCCGAUGUCGAAUUAGCUAGUUGGCGGGGUAAAGGCCCACCAAGGCGACGAUCCGUAGCUGGUCUGAGAGGAUGAUCAGCCACACUGGAACUGAGACACGGUCCAGACUCCUACGGGAGGCAGCAGUGGGGAAUAUUGGACAAUGGGCGCAAGCCUGAUCCAGCCAUACCGCGUGGGUGAAGAAGGCCUUCGGGUUGUAAAGCCCUUUUGUUGGGAAAGAAAAGCAGCAGGUUAAUACCCCGCUGUUCUGACGGUACCCAAAGAAUAAGCACCGGCUAACUUCGUG
rnacentral:rRNA from 1 species